CAUAACAAAAUAAAUAAAUUUGGUGUAGUUACUGUCUUCUGAUUGGUUAAAAUUAUUAGUUUUAUUUUCAAUGUUGUCAAUUUUUAUGGCGACACGCCCACUCUGACGUUGUGUAUUCAUACGCCAACAUGUGUGUACGUUGUUAUUGUUAAUAUAAAUAAUAUAAAAAGUUCUUUGAGCCUUAUUUUUGAUGAAAAUUUAUUUAUAAUGAAUGGCAAUAAUUUAUUUUGAUUUUAUUGAACCAUAAAACUAAUUUUUGACUCUUCACAUUUUACAUAAUCCGCUUCGCGGAU
rnacentral:lncRNA from 1 species